rnacentral:rRNA from 1 species
AGCUAACUGAAAUCACAAAAUCACAAAAGUGCUAUUGUGAUAAUGUAAGGAAAAAAUUGAUAUCACCUUACUAUAAGUGUUGUCUAAAUAACUGGUGCCAGAAGACUCGGUAACACCAGAAACGCGAACGUUAGUCGUCUUAAACAGGCGUAAAGGGUAAGUAGGCUGCUUUAAAUAUCUAUUAAAAAAAAAAAGCUAAUUAAUAAAUUAACCUAAAUUUUUUCAGACCUGAAAUUAUAUUUAAGGCUAACUAAUAAUGAAAAAGGUAAUUAUUAAAAAAGAUAGAUACACUUAAAGCUAGAAUCAUAAUUGAGAUAAACCAAAUAAUACUUAUGUGUAAGGGCGAUAUCUGAAAAUACUAAGUAGAAUACUAACGGUGAAAACUUUUUAUCUAGGAAUGAUUGACGCUGAGGUACGAAAGUGAGAACAGGGAAUAGGAUUAGAUACCCAGUUACCUCUCACCGUCAACGAUGAAUGGUAGUUGUUAGUUUAAUUAAAUUAGUGACGAUGUUAACGCGAUAACCAUUCCGCCUUGAGAGUACGGUUGCAAAACUGAAACCAAAAAAAUUAGUCGGUCUCGGAGCAAA